rnacentral:rRNA from 1 species
GAAUAUUGGGCAAUGGACGCAAGUCUGACCCAGCCAUGCCGCGUGCAGGAAGAAGGCCUUCUGGGUUGUAAACUGCUUUUGAUCGGGAACAAAGAGCCCUUGCGAGGGAAGUUGAGUGUACCGAUAGAAUAAGCACCGGCUAACUCCGUGCCAGCAGCCGCGGUAAUACGGAGGGUGCAAGCGUUGUCCGGAUUUAUUGGGUUUAAAGGGUGCGUAGGCGGCUAUUUAAGUCAGUGGUGAAAUCCUGCAGCUUAACUGUAGAAUUGCCAUUGAUACUGGAUAGCUUGAGUACAGACGAGGUAGGCGGAAUUUAUGGUGUAGCGGUGAAAUGCAUAGAUACCAUAAAGAACCCCUAUUGCGAAGGCAGCUUACUAGGCUGUAACUGACGCUGAGGCACGAAAGCGUGGGGAUCAAACAG